UACGUAGGGGGCGAGCGUUGUCCGGAAUCAUUGGGCGUAAAGAGCGCGUAGGCGGCCCGACAAGUCCGCUGUGAAAGUCAGGGGCUCAACCCUUGGAUGCCGGUGGAUACUGUCGGGCUAGAGUCCGGAAGAGGCGAGUGGAAUUCCUGGUGUAGCGGUGAAAUGCGCAGAUAUCAGGAGGAACACCGAUGGCGAAGGCAGCUCGCUGGGACGGUACUGACGCUGAGGCGCGAAAGCGUGGGGAGCAAACAGG
rnacentral:rRNA from 1 species